rnacentral:misc_RNA from 1 species
GAACGCACCUUGCGCCCUUUGGCUAUUCCGAAGGGCAUGCCUGUUUGAGUAUCAGUAAACACCUCAAAGACUUCAAUUUGUUUUGAAUGGCUUUGGACUUGAGCAAUCCCAACACCAGUCUUUACGAUCGGUGGAGGGUUGCUUGAAAUGCAGGUGCAGCUGGACAUUCUCCUGAGCUAAAAGCAUAUUUAUUUAGUCCCGUCAAACGGAUUAUUACUUUUGCUGCAGCUAACAUAAAGGGAGUUUGACCGUAUUGGCUGACUGAUGCAGGAUUUCACAAGGGUCGGCAACGAUUCUUGUAAAACUCGAUCUCAAAUCAAGUAAGACUACCCGCUGAACUUAAG